rnacentral:sRNA from 1 species
UAUGCAGGCACAAAAUAUUCCUUUUCAUCCUAUAGUUUCCCUGCCCUAACCCUGUAGUCAGGCAUAUCCCCAAGGAGCCCAGCUUUUUUCCAAUGGAGAAUGACAAUUCAGAAUUACCGUCUUGGUGCUUGCCUGGUGUGCUGUUGCCCCUAGAGGCCACUUAAAUGCCAAAGCACUGAAGCAUUGUGGCUCCAAGCCUGUGUGUGUGUGUGUGUGUUUGUGUGUGUGUGUGUGUGUGUGAGAGAGAGAGAGAGAAAGAGAGUGUGUGUGUGUGAUUAGUUCCAGAUUUGAAAAUAUUUUAGCAAUCAACUAUUUUCCCUUCCCCAGGCUUUUUCUCCUCCGUGACAGCCAGAGUAAUCCAAAGGCAUUUGUACUCACACUGUGUCAUCACCAGAAAAUUAAAAAUUUCCAGAUCUUACCUUGCGAGGACGACGGGCAGACGUUCUUCAGCCUAGAUGACGGGAACACCAAAUUCUCUGACCUGAUCCAGCUGGUUGACUUUUACCAGCUGAACAAAGGAGUCCUGCCUUGCAAACUCAAGCACCACUGCAUCCGAGUGGCCUUAUGACCGCAGAUGUCCUCUCGGCUGAAGACUGGAGGAAGUGAACACUGGAGUGAAGAAGCGGUCUGUGCGUUGGUGA